UCCGUAGGUGAACCUGCGGAAGGAUCAUUACCACACCGACCCUGGAUCGAUUAAUUUUUGAGAAAUGGAGUAGCGGCGUGUCGCUCCGUCAAAACAACAAACAGAACCCCCCUCCUUUGAACCCGUAUUGGUUCAGUUUAGCAUGAAAUGUAGCCAAUUGUUGGUUGUUUGUUUCCUUGAAAAGGAACAACAGCCUCAAGAAUGGAAAAGUAUCAUUACAACUUUCAGCAAUGGAUGUCUAGGUUCCCACACCGAUGAAGAACGCAGCGAAAUGCGAUACGUAAUGCGAAUUGCAAAACCUUGUGAAUCAUCAAUAUUUUGAACGCACAUUGCGCUUCCGGGAAUCUCCCGGUAGCAUGCUUGUCUGAGUGUCAGCGAAACCAUCUCAGCACGAAUGCUUGCGCGUUUGUAGCUGGUCUAUGGCGGUGGUUCCACCUCCGCUGAAAUAUUUUCAUUUUAGGUACCCGUUGAUAGACCUAUGCCUCUGGUAGAAAUCAGAUGGAUGUGGUUCGAAUUAUUUCCUGAUCUCAGCUUAAGCAAGAGGACCCGCUGAAUUUAAGCAUAUUAUUAAGCGGAGGAAAAGAAACUAACCAGGAUUCCCCCAGUAACGGCGAGUGAAGCGGGAAAAGCUCAAGCCUUAAUCGCAUCUGCGAAUUGUAGUUUAUAGGGGGUGUCAUCCCCAGACGAUUGCGGCAGUUAAAGUCCAUUUGGAACAAUGCAUCAGAGAGGGUGAAAAUCCCGUGCAACUGUCGCGUCGCUGGCGGACGCCUCCUCAGAGUCGAGUUGUUUGGGAGUACAGCUCAAAGCGGGUGGUAUAUUCCAUCUAAAGCUAAAUAUUGGCAGGAGACCGAUAGCGAACAAGUACCGUGAGGGAAAGAUGAAAAGAAACCAGAGAUGGUGGUUAAAAGUGCGUGAAAUUGUUGAAAGGGAAACGCUUGAAGU
rnacentral:rRNA from 1 species